CAAAAUUUUAAUCCAUCUGAUUCAAUCAUUUCUUCUUUCUAUCUCUUCCGUUGACUACCACCAUUCACUAAAAUAAAGAAACGAAAAAAAAUAUUAUACUCUCUACCAUCUUCUUCCUCAUAUCACUGCCGCCAUUGUUUCUCUUACUCAUUUUCUUAUUCCUCGCCAUCAAAACCGUCGCUUGAAAAUUGAUCAACGAUCCCGAUUACCCACCGGUGUCUCCUAGGCUCAAGAAACAAUCUGCGUAUGCCCCUUGGUUCCGUUAGUUCAUCGUCGCCAUUGCUCAGAUAUAAAGGUUGAUUGGAAACAGAUUUUUUCACCGGCGGGUAAUCCAGCUCGUUAAUGGAUUUUCGGGCGACGGUUUUGAUGGCAUGAGAAGAUCAAGCGAGAGAAACAAUGGUAGCAAUCAUAUUGAAUUGAGAACUUUUUUUAAAAGUUAUCAAAAUAAUACAGUUUUUAUUUUAGAGUAA